CCUACGGGAGGCAGCAGUGAGGAAUCUUGGUCAAUGGCCGCAGGGCUGAACCAGCCAAGUCGCGUGAGGGAUGACGGUCCUAUGGAUUGUAAACCUCUUUUGUCAGGGAGCAAAGGGCGCCACGUGUGGCGCUUUGCGAGUACCUGAAGAAAAAGCAUCGGCUAACUCCGUGCCAGCAGCCGCGGUAAUACGGAGGAUGCGAGCGUUAUCCGGAUUUGUUGGGUUUAAAGGGUGCGCAGGCGGAAUGUUAAGUCAGUUGUGAAAGUUUGCGGCUCAACCGUAAAAUUGCAAUUGAUACUGGCAGUCUGGAGUACAGUUGAGGUAGGCGGAAUUCGUGGUGUAGCGGUGAAAUGCUUAGAUAUCACGAAGAACUCCGAUUGCGAAGGCAGCUUACUAAACUGCCACUGACAUUGAUGCUCGAAAGUGUGGGUAUCAAACAGGAUUAGAUACCCGGGUAGUC
rnacentral:rRNA from 1 species